UCCCUGGUUGAUCCUGCCAGUAGUCAUAUGCUUGUCUCAAAGACUAAGCCAUGCAUGUCUAAGUACGAGCUGUGUUUACACGGCGAGACCGCGGACGGCUCAUUAAAUCAGUCGUGGUCCAUAUGGGCAAGAGUUUCUGUUACUUGGAUAACUGUGGUAAUUCCAGAGCUAAUACAUGCAACUGAUAUCCCGAGGGCGUAUCUCACGGUGCGUACCGACGGAUGCUUUUAUUAGACCAAACCGCUGGGUGCGCGGCGUUAACCCGUCGCGCAUGGCUCGUUAUAUGGUGACUCUGGAUAACCUUUCUGUGACAAGCGUACGUACCCUUCGCGGGACGACGCUGCCGCUUUCGAGUGUCUGCCUUAUCAGCUAUCAACCGUUCGUUAUGUGCGACCGAUGGCUUUGACGGGUAACGGAGAAUCAGAGUUCGAUUCCGGAGAGGCAGCCUGAGAGACGGCUACCACGUCCAAGGACGGCAGCAGGCACGCAAAUUACCCAAUCCCAGCCUCUGGGGGAGGUAGUGACGAAAUCUAACGAUGUGGGCGCCCUUUCUGGGGCCCCACAAUCGGAAUGGCCACUUUCUAAACAACCUGUUGAGAACCUACUGAAGGGCAAGUCUGGUGCCAGCAGCCGCGGUAAUUCCAGCUUCAGUAGCAUCUAUUAAAGUUGCUGCGGUUAAAAGGCUCGCAGUUGAAUGUCAGUAUCGAGCGCAGGUCAGGUGGACGAUGGGGCGUGGGAUAUCAAGGCGCGUGUCGCAACGUGCGUAAGGGCGUAAGCUCUUGUGCGUACGUCUCGUGUCCUUCUCACAAGCCCCCGUCCGUGACAAGCCUCCUCGCUUGUUUACAUAACGGGAUCUGGUAAACGGAGUGUGCGUUGUAGUGGCUCUUCGCUGCUUCGUUCGUUCUUGUGCGUUCCAUCAUCUCUUUCUUGGCAGUGUAAGCGGGUGUCUAGCUGGCGCGUUAGUUUCCGCUAUCGCGUCGUGGCGGCUCGUACUUGCUUUGGGGAGUGUUGGGUUGCGUACCUGAGUGGGCGUUUGUGGCGUCGUUGGUUGCUCUCGCACGUUGAGCUCCAUCGGUUUCAUAGUCACCUUGAGUAAAUCAGAGUGCUCAAAGCAGUCGUAGGGGCCCUGUGCCCUGUGAACAGUCUUGACGGACUGACUUGGUUUUGCAUGGCAUGUCGGAAGACGACGUCUAGCGCUGGCUCAGAGAGAUUGUGCAAGUGGUAUAAGCCAGCCUAGAUGUACUGAUUAACAGGGACGGUCGAGGGCAUUGGUAUUGCCGGGCGAGAGGUGAAAUUCUAUGACCCCGGCAAGACCUCCUGAAGCGAAAGCGUCUGCCAAGGAUGUUUUCAUUAAUCAUGAACGAAAGUUAGAGGAUCGAAGGCGAUCAGAUACCGCCCUAGUUCUAACCCUAAACGAUGCCAACCAUCAAUCCGUGCGUAGCACCCUUCUUAACGGGCUCGACGGGCAGCUCCUUACCCACGGGAAACCAGAGUCUCUGGGUUCCGGGGGGAGUCUGGUUGCAAAGCUGAAACUUAAAGGAAUUGACGGAAAGGCACCACCAGGCGUGGAGCCUGCGGCUUAAUUUGACUCAACACGGGCCAUCUCACCAGGCCAGCACUCUUGUACGAUUGACAGAUUGAGAGCUCUUUCUCGAUUUAGUGGAUGGUGGUGCAUGGCCGUUCUUAGUUGGUGGAGUGAUCUGUCUGGUUAAUUCCGAUAACGAACGAGACUCUCCCCUGCUAACUAGUCGGUUGGAUCUUGAUAUGUUUAUUAUCGUUUGAGUCGUGUACCGAGAUUCCUCGUUGUUUCUUGUACGCGUUGGUAUACCUUCGUGAUGGUGUUGUUGGAGUAUCUCUCGUAUUCCUAGCGAUUGCGGGGGCUCUGCUCUGCACUCUGUUGCGGGGGGACCUCGUGUGUCGGAGCUUCGGGCCUCGGACCACACACUCCAAGUCCGCCGCUCAUGCUUAAAACUCUUCUUAGAGGGAUACACGGUUCUGAAGCCGUAAGAGACUGAGAGCAAUAACAGGUCUGUGAUGCCCUUAGAUGUUCUGGGCCGCACGCGCGCUACAAUGCCGGGCACAGCAGGUGUUUUUCCUACCCCGAUAGGGGCGGGUAACCCUAUGAAAGCCCUUUGUCAUGGAUAACUAUUAUAUAGUUGGUGAAGCUAACGCUUCCCAACGUCUGGCGUGAUUGGGCCUGGGUCUUGCAAUUCUUUCCCACUAACGAGGAAUGCCUUGUAGCGGCGGGUCACUGAGCCCGCCGUGACUCAGUCCCUGCCCUUUGUACACACCGCCCGUCGCUACUACCGAUUGGGUGUACCAGUGAGAGCCUUGGACUGGCGUCCGUUGCCCUAACGUUACGUCUGAGCAAACGGGUCCGACGGAAAGAGGUCCGAACUGGUGCACUUAGAGGAAGUAAAAGUCGUAACAAGGUUUCCGUAGGUGAACCUGCGGAAGGAUCAUUA
rnacentral:rRNA from 1 species